rnacentral:rRNA from 1 species
CAGUCGCCACGGUAAUACGAAGGGUGCAAGCGUUAAUCGGAAUUCCUGGGCGUAAAGCGUGCGUAGGCGGUGAGUUAAGUCUGCUGUUAAAUCCCCGGGCUCAACCUGGGAAUGGCAGUGGAUACUGGCUCGCUAGAGUGUGUCAGAGGACGGUGGAAUUCCCGGUGUAGCGGUGAAAUGCGUAGAGAUCGGGAGGAACAUCAGCGGCGAAGGCGGCCAUCUGGGACAACACUGACGCUGAGGCACGAAAGCGUGGGGAGCAAACAGGAUUAGAUACCCGCGUAGUCCCUGUCUCUUAUAC